CCUACGGGAGGCAGCAGUGAGGAAUAUUGGUCAAUGGCCGUAAGGCUGAACCAGCCAAGCCGCGUGAAGGAAGAAGGAACUACGGUUUGUAAACCUCUUUUAUAGGGGAAUAAAGGUAUCCACGUGUGGAUAUUUGCAUGUACCCUAUGAAUAAGCAUCGGCUAACUCCGUGCCAGCAGCCGCGGUAAUACGGAGGAUGCGAGCGUUAUCCGGAUUUAUUGGGUUUAAAGGGUGCGUAGGUGGUCUUUUAAGUCAGCGGUGAAAGGUUGUGGCUCAACCAUAAAGUUGCCGUUGAAACUGGAAGACUUGAGUGUGUUUGAGGUAGGCGGAAUGCGUGGUGUAGCGGUGAAAUGCAUAGAUAUCACGCAGAACCCCGAGUGCGAAGGCAGCUUACUAGGCCAUAACUGACACUGAGGCACGAAAGCGUGGGGAUCAAACAGGAUUAGAUACCCUUGUAGUC
rnacentral:rRNA from 1 species